rnacentral:misc_RNA from 1 species
CAUCACUGAAUAUAGUUGAGCAUUGGGAUUCUUACUCCCCAGGCGUUUUUUAAUAGCUUUAACAACAUCUCUAGCUUGCCUCUUAUCACGGGCUACUGAUUCACAUAUUUCGAUAUUCUUAGUCCAAUCCAAUUCAGGUAGUUUAUCACUCGUUGCAGAAUUAACGAGCUCAGCUGCCAUCUGCCGCUUAAUUUCGGAAAUGAAAACGCCAAAAGAACUCUAAAUCUCACCUCCUAAACCCUAUGAGAAGGACGAGGAACAGAGAAACAAUGUGGAAGAAGCUGAGGAACACAGAAUAGCUUCAACAUUUGAAGAAGAAAAGAGAAAGAGUUGCUUUUUCUUUUCUUUAUGGUAUUUCCAGGCUGUUAUUUUGAGAAAU